rnacentral:rRNA from 1 species
CCUACGGGCGGCAGCAGUGAGGAAUAUUGGUCAAUGGACGCAAGUCUGAACCAGCCAUGCCGCGUGCAGGAAGACGGCUCUAUGAGUUGUAAACUGCUUUUGUACGAGGGUAAACGCAGAUACGCGUAUCUGUCUGAAAGUAUCGUACGAAUAAGGAUCGGCUAACUCCGUGCCAGCAGCCGCGGUAAUACGGAGGAUUCAAGCGUUAUCCGGAUUUAUUGGGUUUAAAGGGUGCGUAGGCGGUCGGAUAAGUUAGAGGUGAAAUCCCGAGGCUCAACUUCGGAAUUGCCUCUGAUACUGGUUGGCUAGAGAGUAGUUGCGGUAGGCGGAAUGUAUGGUGUAGCGGUGAAAUGCUUAGAGAUCAUACAGAACACCGAUUGCGAAGGCAGCUUACCAAGCUACUUCUGACGUUGAGGCACGAAAGCGUGGGGAGCAAACAGGAUUAGAUACCCCAGUAGUC